rnacentral:rRNA from 1 species
UACGUAGGGCGCAAGCGUUGUCCGGAAUUAUUGGGCGUAAAGAGCUUGUAGGUGGCUUGUCGCGUCUGCCGUGAAAACCCAAGGCUCAACCUUGGGCGUGCGGUGGGUACGGGCAGGCUAGAGUGUGGUAGGGGAGACUGGAACUCCUGGUGUAACGGUGAAAUGCGCAGAUAUCAGGAAGAACACCGAUGGCGAAGGCAGGUCUCUGGGCCAUUACUGACACUGAGAAGCGAAAGCAUGGGGAGCGAACAGG